rnacentral:misc_RNA from 1 species
GUUACGAAAAUUCUUGUUUUUGACAAAAAUUUAAUGAAUAGAUAAAAUUGUUUGUGUUUGUUAACCUCUGGGCCCCGAUUGCUCGAAUGCCCAAAGAAAAAGUUGCAAAGAUAUGAAAACUCCACGGUGUGUUGUAUUGAAACGGUUUUAAUUGUCCUAUAACAAAAGCACAGAAAUCUCUCACCGUUUGGAAUAGCAAGAAAGAAACUUACAAGCCUAGCAAGACCGCGCACUUAAGCGCAGGCCCGGCUGGACUCUCCAUCUCUUGUCUUCUUGCCCAGUAAAAGCUCUCAUGCUCUUGCCA